GGAAAACUGGAGUAGACUGUACCUGUGGGUGCCGCUGAUGUAGCAUUUCUGCCCCUGUGGCUGCCUGCGCGGCCCUUUAUAGCCAGCUGCACGGCCGUGCAGCUUAGAGGGAACUUAGGCCAGGAGCUGGAUACCGCGGGGGAACGAUUCAAAGAUGUUGAAUUGCUACCGCGAACAAAUGGUAACUCGAAGCAGCUUGGGUCGAGAAGAUCACACAGAUAAAACAUUCAUGUUUUCAGGAAGCGACCCAGUUGCAACAGGAUGGUAUAAGAACGAUAAACAACGUCAUCAAGUGCAUCUUUUAGCCUUCUUUGCAAAGGAAAAACCUCAGCUUAACCCUGCGCACGGAACUUGAGAACGAUCCUUAUUGAAAUGAAUUUCUUUCGUAAACCCACUGAAAUCGUCAUUCUUUAAACGUGGAGAAUGUGUACGGUGGGAAAUGUUUUACAGA